AGUGAACGCUGGCGGUAGGCCUAACACAUGCAAGUCGAACGGCAGCACAGUAAGAGCUUGCUCUUACGGGUGGCGAGUGGCGGACGGGUGAGGAAUACAUCGGAAUCUACUUUUUCGUGGGGGAUAACGUAGGGACACUUACGCUAAUACCGCAUACGACCUACGGGUGAAAGCAGGGGAUCUUCGGACCUUGCGCGAUUGAAUGAGCCGAUGUCGGAUUAGCUAGUUGGCGGGGUAAAGGCCCACCAAGGCGACGAUCCGUAGCUGGUCUGAGAGGAUGAUCAGCCACACUGGAACUGAGACACGGUCCAGACUCCUACGGGAGGCAGCAGUGGGGAAUAUUGGACAAUGGGCGCAAGCCUGAUCCAGCCAUGCCGCGUGUGUGAAGAAGGCCUUCGGGUUGUAAAGCCCUUUUGUUGGGAAAGAAAAGCAGCAGGUUAAUACCCCGCUGUUCUGACGGUACCCAAAGAAUAAGCACCGGCUAACUUCGUG
rnacentral:rRNA from 1 species